UACGGAGGGGGCUAGCGUUGUUCGGAAUUAUUGGGCGUAAAGGGCUCGUAGGCGGUUUGUCGCGUCGGGAGUGAAAACCCAGGGCUUAACCCUGGGCUGGCUUCCGAUACGGGCAGACUAGAGGUAUGCAGGGGAGAACGGAAUUCCUGGUGUAGCGGUGAAAUGCGCAGAUAUCAGGAGGAACACCGGUGGCGAAGGCGGUUCUCUGGGCAUUACCUGACGCUGAGGAGCGAAAGUGUGGGGAGCGAACAGG
rnacentral:rRNA from 1 species